rnacentral:rRNA from 1 species
UACGGGGGGGGCAAGCGUUGUUCGGAAUUACUGGGCGUAAAGGGCUCGUAGGCGGCCAACUAAGUCAGACGUGAAAUCCCUCGGCGUUAACCGGGGAACUGCGUCUGAUACUGGAUGGCUUGAAUCCGGGAGAGGGAUGCGGAAUUCCAGGUGUAGCGGUGAAAUGGCGUAGGAUAUCUGGAGGAACACCGGUGGCGAAGGCGGCAUCCUGG